UGCGGGUGUGUCCUGUUACUACUGUAGU
rnacentral:sRNA from 1 species